GACCCGUAGCGAACAGCUCAGUAACACGUGGCCAAGCUACCCUAUGGACGUGGACACCCUCGGGAAACUGAGGCUAAUCCGCGAUACGGCUCCCACGCUUGAAUGCGGGGAGCCGGAAACGCUCCGGCGCCAUAGGAUGCGGCUGCGGCCGAUUAGGUAGACGGUGGGGUAACGGCCCACCGUGCCGAUAAUCGGUACGGGAUGUGAGAGCAAAUAGCCCGGAGAUGGAAUCUGAGACAAGAUACCGGGCCCUACGGGGCGCAGCAGGCGCGAAACCUUUACACUGUACGAAAGUGCGAUAGGGGGACUCCGAGUGCGAGGGCAUAGAGCCCUCGCUUUUGUACACCGUAAGGUGGUGUACGAAUAAGAGCUGGGCAAGACCGGUGCCAGCCGCCGCGGUAAUACCGGCAGCUCGAGUGAUGGCCGAUCUUAUUGGGCCUAAAGCGUCCGUAGCUGGCCAGGCAAGUCCGUUGGGAAAUCUGCUCGCUUAACGAGCAGGCGCCCAGCGGAAACUGCUUGGCUUGGGACCGGAGGACCUGAGGGGUACGUCCGGGGUAGGAGUGAAAUCCUGUAAUCCUGGACGGACCACCGGUGGCGAAAGC
rnacentral:rRNA from 1 species